GACGAACGCUGGCGGCGUGCCUAAUACAUGCAAGUAGAACGCUGAAGAGAGGAGCUUGCUCUUCUUGGAUGAGUUGCGAACGGGUGAGUAACGCGUAGGUAACCUGCCUUGUAGCGGGGGAUAACUAUUGGAAACGAUAGCUAAUACCGCAUAACAAUGGAUGACACAUGUCAUUUAUUUGAAAGGGGCAAUUGCUCCACUACAAGAUGGACCUGCGUUGUAUUAGCUAGUAGGUGAGGUAAUGGCUCACCUAGGCGACGAUACAUAGCCGACCUGAGAGGGUGAUCGGCCACCCUGGGACUGAGACACGGCCCAGACUCCUACGGGAGGCAGCAGUAGGGAAUCUUCGGCAAUGGGGCAACCCUGACCGAGCAACGCCGCGUGAGUGAAGAAGGUUUUCGGAUCGUAAAGCUCUGUUGUAAGUCAAGAACGGGUGUGAGAGUGGAAAGUUCACACUGUGACGGUAGCUUACCAGAAAGGGACGGCUAACUACGUG
rnacentral:rRNA from 1 species